rnacentral:lncRNA from 1 species
UACAAUACAAACUAACUAUCUCACAGCUGCUUCCCCUAAAGGGGAACCCCCCUUCGUCGUCUGUCCCCUUUGUUCUUCAUCCCCUAAAGGGGAACCCCAAAGUCAUCUUCCCCUUUAGUGUUCUUCGUCUGCUUUAGUUCUCCUAAAGGGGAUGAACCAAAGUCUCUUCUUAUUCCCCUUUAGGGGACUCCGUCUUCUUUAGGGGACUCCGUCUUCUUUAGGGGACUCCGUCUUCUUUAGGGGACUCCGUCUUCUUUAGGGGACUCCGUCUUCUUUAGGGGACUCCGUCUUCUUUAGGGGACUCCGUCUUCUUUAGAGGGACUCCGUCUUCUUUAGGGGACUCCGUCUUCUUUAGGGGACUCCGUCUUCUUUAGGGGACUCCGUCUUCUUUAGGGGAAGAAGAAGAGACUUUGGUUCGUCCCCUUUAGGGGAACCAAAGGGGAAGAAGAAGGGGUGUGUUCUUCCCCUUUAGGGGAACCCCUUCUUCUUCCCCUUCGUUUUCACCCCUUUAGGGGAACUAAAGGGGAAGAAGAAGAGACUUUGGUUCAUCCCCUUUAGGGGAACUAAAGAAGACGAAGAAAACGAAGAAGAGACUUUGGGUGUGUUCUUCCCCUUUAGGGGAAGAAGAAGAGACUUUGGGGUGUUCUUCCCCUUUAGGGGAACCCCUUCUUCUUCCCCGAAGGGGAACCCCUUUAGUUCCCCUAAAGGGGAUGAACUAAAGGGGACUCCGUCUUCUUUAGUUCCCCUAAAGGGGAUGAAAAAGGGCUUCCCCUUCGGUUCAUCCCCUUUAGUUCCCCUAAAGGGGAUGAACUAAAGGGGACGAGCACUUCUUCCCCUAAAGGGGACGGAGACUUUGGUUCGUCCCCUUUAGUGUGUUCCUCCCCGAAGGGGAACUUCUUCAUCCCCUUUAGGGGAACUAAAGAAGACGGAGACUUUGGGUUCCCCUUCGGGGAAGAAAACGAAGGGGUGUUCCCCUUCUUCAUCCCCUACGGGGAACUAAAGGGGACGGA